rnacentral:rRNA from 1 species
AGUGAACGCUGGCGGUAGGCCUAACACAUGCAAGUCGAACGGCAGCACAGGAGAGCUUGCUCUCUGGGUGGCGAGUGGCGGACGGGUGAGGAAUACAUCGGAAUCUACUCUGUCGUGGGGGAUAACGUAGGGAAACUUACGCUAAUACCGCAUACGACCUACGGGUGAAAGCAGGGGACCUUCGGGCCUUGCGCGAAUGAAUUAGACGAUGUUGGAUUAGCUAGGUGGCGGGGUAAAGGCCCACCAAGGCGACGAUCCGUAGCUGGUCUGAGAGGAUGAUCAGCCACACUGGAACUGAGACACGGUCCAGACUCCUACGGGAGGCAGCAGUGGGGAAUAUUGGACAAUGGGCGCAAGCCUGAUCCAGCCAUACCGCGUGGGUGAAGAAGGCCUUCGGGUUGUAAAGCCCUUUUGUUGGGAAAGAAAUCCAGCUGGCUAAUACCCGGUUGGGAUGACGGUACCCAAAGAAUAAGCACCGGCUAACUUCGUGCCAGCCGCCGCGGUAA